rnacentral:rRNA from 1 species
GAUGAACGCUAGCGGCAGGCCUAACACAUGCAAGUCGAGGGGUAGAAGUUGCUUGCAACUUUGAGACCGGCGCACGGGUGCGUAACGCGUAUGCAAUCUGCCUUGUACUGAGGGAUAGCCCAGAGAACUUUGGAUUAAUACCUCAUAGUAUUACGAUGUGGCAUCACAAUGUAAUUAAAGUUCCAACGGUACAAGAUGAGCAUGCGUCCCAUUAGUUAGUUGGUAAGGUAACGGCUUACCAAGACGAUGAUGGGUAGGGGUCCUGAGAGGGAGAUCCCCCACACUGGUACUGAGACACGGACCAGACUCCUACGGGAGGCAGCAGUGAGGAAUAUUGGUCAAUGGGCGCAAGCCUGAACCAGCCAUGCCGCGUGCAGGAUGAAGCAUCUAUGGUGUGUAAACUGCUUUUGUACGGGAAGAAACACUCCUACGUGUAGGAGCUUGACGGUACCGUAAGAAUAAGGAUCGGCUAACUCCGUGCCAGCAGCCGCGGUAACAC